UAUUCAAAGAUUUUAUCUAAAUGCUAUUUUUUUUAAAAAAAAUUAAAGUAAUUUUAUGUUGAUUUUUUUUUUUUUUUCUCUUUUCUCUCUUCUCUCUUCUUUUCCCCUAUUGCCCUCCCCCUCCCCCUCUCUAGCUCUUUUCUCUUCUUCGUUUUUUCCCCUUCCAUUUUUCCAUUCUCCUCUUUUUUCCCAUCAUUGUCAUAGUCUCCUUGGCCAUUUGGUUGACAAUUUUUUUCCACCAUUGUUAUCGCACCUUGCUGUCCACUUUUGAUCAUCAUUGUUUUUGUCAUUGUUUCCCUUCUUUUUCCUCCUCUACCGUCGCUGUGGUGAGCAACCACCGUUCUUGUUGUGCUGCCCAUUGUUCCUUCUUCUUUGCCUUCCCCUUGUCACAUUUUAUUUUUGUCUAAAUUACCUUAUAAGCCCUAGGCCAAAUCUCUUUUUGUCACUCGUUGGUGAGUACUUAUAUUUUCUAUGUAAAAUGUUACCACAGAUCCAUAACGGGAAGUGUAAGUAACAUUUUUGGGUAAUCAGAUCUAAGUUAUUUUCUUCUUUUUCUUAUUCUGUGAUAGUCGGGUCUCACCAAUUUAAUUUUUUCAUGUUUGAUUGGUUCAAGAUAAAAAAAUCCAAACCCCUCAGAUCAACAAUAGCUUUGGUGAACUGUUCGCAACUAUAAGCCAAAUAGAAUCAGAGUUGGAGCUAAUUAGAUCUCAAGCGUAAGAGUUACGGAAAAGCGACAGAGUUCGGUUUAACCUUUGGGUCUAACCUUUAGGUGUUUAAUUGACCAUAUUUAAUAAUGUUAUGUGCGUGAUAAACCAAAAUACAUGUUGAUUUGUGCAUGGCCGAACAAUCAUGAGUGGAUUAAAAGGGUUAGUUAAGGUGAGUACUAAAAAUGAGUAGUGGUUGAAUCCUUAAGGGCCUUAAUUGAGAUUAAAAGAUUGUGUGGGUGCCGACUGUAAUUACUGUUAAUGUAUUUUCUGAUUUGUAUGACAUGAUAUUGUUAAUGAAUGCAUGAUUAAGCAUGUCAUUAAGAUUUUCAAACCUGAAGCAUGAUAAGCAUGCCACCGAAAUUGUUAAAUCGAAAGCAUGAUGAGCAUUCAUACUGUUAAUGAAUGCAUGAUUAAGCAUGUCAUUAAGAUUUUCAAACCUGAAGCAUGAUAAGCAUGCCACCGAAAUUGUUAAAUCGAAAGCAUGAUGAGCAUGCCAUUGAUAUUUUACUAUUAUCCAAUAGCAUGAUAUGCUACACCAUUGAUAUGUUAUAUUUCAUUGAAUGUUUUUGGGUAUUGAUUGAGUAACGGAGGAGUUCCAUGGAGUACUGACGAAUCCGCAACAUUGGUUAGUCAAUAUACUGCACCCUCGAGUAUUGUGGAGUAUUGGCAACUUAUCGUAUAUUACUGGCAAUUUUAUCUGCAUAUUGAUACUGGUGGUUUAACCAUACCAAGCUUCGGCUCUUAUUGCUUUGGUGUUCGGAUGACGGGUUCUGGAAAAUUCAUGGUGUGUAGCAGAAAGAUGGGUAGGAUUAUUGCACUAAAUCAUUAAGCAUGCAGUAUACUUGAGUUUGAUAUGUCGUGAUAAAAUUGUAUGAACUAUUAUAAUGAUUGUAUGCCUCUUGACUGAUUGACUGCUUAUAUUGCUUAGACUCACAGUGAGCUUUUUAAGCUCAUCGCUAAUUUACUCUUUACAGAUAACCUUCAAGACUAGGGCCGGAUUCGGUGUACAGAGAUUUCAUCUUGAAAUUUUUCAUAAUAAAGUAUUUUAAAAUUUAUUUUAUUUA